rnacentral:rRNA from 1 species
AACGAACGCUGGCGGCAGGCUUAACACAUGCAAGUCGAACGCCCCGCAAGGGGAGUGGCAGACGGGUGAGUAACACGUGGGAACAUGCCCAGAGGUACGGAAUAUUCUCGGGAAACUGGGAUCAAUACCGGAUGUGGCCGAAAGUGGAAAGAUUUAUCGCCUUUGGAUUGGCCCGCGUCAGAUUAGGUAGUUGGUGGGGUAAUGGCCUACCCAGCCGACGAUCUGUAGCUGGUCUGAGAGGACGACCAGCCACACUGGGACUGAGACACGGCCCAGACUCCUACGGGAGGCAGCAGUGGGGAAUCUUGGACAAUGGGCGCAAGCCUGAUCCAGCCAUGCCGCGUGGAUGAUGAAGGCCCUAGGGUUGUAAAAUCCUUUCGUUGGGGACGAUAAUGACGGUACCCAAAGAAGAAGCUUCGGCUAACUUCGUGCCAGCCGCCGCCGUAA